CUGCGAGCCCGGCCAGGCAGCGGCCGAAGGGCGUGCUAGCAGUGAGCGCAAACCACUGGCCCCGAGAGCCCAGCUGCCCCGGAGCAGCCGCGUCCGGUCCCAGGGAGGGGCGCUCGGAGGGGGGGUGCGCCCCGCGAGCCCCUACCGCUCGCUUCCCCACGUGGGCCAGGAGCCCACCUGAGCCUCGGUGGAGCACAGAGGCCAGGAUGGAGCAGCGGGACCACGAGGAGGAGACUCCACAACGAGCCUUCUCUCAUUCCAGGUGCCAGCCAGAUCCCAGCAUACCACAGGACUCAGCUCCAGGAUCCACAUCUGAGAGAGACACUGUCAUGCUGAUGCAUGUCUAAAGGAGAGGACCAGAGUGCUGAGGACCUGCACAUCACAUGAUGUAAGAGGACGCCAUGGCUUGCAGAAAUUCCAAAUCUUCUGCAGCCUCCUGGUCUAUCAGGGAGAUUUUAAAACUAACAAGGGAGAAGAACAAGACCGUUGUUAUCUCCAGUUCUCCGCAGGGUCAAAUUCAGCCAUUUGGACUAGUUAGCCAAGCUUUCCGAGUGAGAGGAUUGCCGAAAUGAUCUAGUGAGUUGUCAUGUGACUUGAACACCCUUCGGGAGGAGUGCACUUCCCUAGCCAUGUCAAGGAUGACCGUAGGAAUUGCUUUGGCCAGAGAGCUGAAGGCCAUGCUUGAGUCUCAGAUCUUACUGGUAAUCCUUUCUGCCAGUGGAGCAGUGCACCUUGUAUAGCAACUGUGCCUAUAUUUGCAUCCAGGAAUGAAAAGACACACAGAGAGCUAAAGAUGACCCACAACUGCCUCUCGCUGCUGCUGCGGUGGAUUCAAAGCCAGGGAAGGUCUGGGGAUGUUUGUUAUCAUAUCAUAAACUGGCAAAUGCUGACAGGGAUAUCCCCU
rnacentral:lncRNA from 1 species